GGGGUUGUAGCUCAGUGGUAGAGUGCUCGCCUAGCAUGUGUGAGGCACAGGGUUUAAACCUCAGCACCA
rnacentral:tRNA from 1 species